rnacentral:tRNA from 1 species
GGUAUCGUGGCCGAGUGGUUAGGCAGAGGUCUGCAAAACCUCGUACAGCGGUUCGAUUCCGCUCGAUACCUCUA